UGUGCAUGGGCACGCCUGCAGGAGCGGCGCCGCGCAGCGCCGGCGACGAGGCGACGCUCCACUUCAUCCAGUUCGCGCUGCUGGCCGCCGUGCUAGGAACCGCAGCCAAGGCCGCGGCGGCGUUCCACGCGCGCGCGUCGUGGCGCCCGCAGGGCCUCGCGGCCGCCGCGGCCCUGGCCACCGUCGCGUGGGCGGCCACCGCGCUCGCGCUCGGUCUCGCGUGCAAGGAGAUGCGGGCCGCCGCGGCGGCGCGCGGGUGGCGGAUGCGCGCGCUCGAGGCGCUCACCGCGACGCUGGCCGUCACGCAGCUCGCGUACGUGCUCAUGCUGCACCGCGCCGCCGCCGACUCCGACUCCGACGUCGACGCCGACACCCACGCCUACGCUGCCGCUGGCGACGACCAGUGCGAGCCUGGCUGCUCCACCGCUACCGAGGGCGACGACGUCGACUGCCAGGACCAGGACGCGCAGCAGCAGCAACAUGGCCGCCACCACCACCACCACCACAGGCAGGGCGGCGGCGGGCCCUCGUGCAAUGUCAUGUGAACUAGCUUACCAUGCUUGGUGUUGUCACUCUCUUGUCUUGUCAUUUUCCGUGCUCGUGUUUCGUCGCGUGGAAAAUAAGCAAUUUAAAGCUCAGUUUCCUGUCUCAUAUAUGUUCCUUUCCUGUCUGUCAGUAUGUGUAUGUGUUCGUGCCUGUCAGCAUGUGUAUGUGUUUGUGCUGUGUAUUGUGAUGUCCAUUUGCUGCCACGCAUGUUCCCCUUGUGCAUGGCAGUUGAUGUCAAAUUAAUAAAAGGACUUGUUUAUCAAAAUGAUGUUAAUAAGAACUUGUGGUUUUGCCAUACUUUCUUUGUUUCGGGCUUAUCUACUUCUAGAUGCCAUAGACAAGGGUAUGUUUGGUUUACCCCUUAUUUUUAGUCACUAAAAUACCAAACACCCCACCAAAGUUUAGAGUUCACUAAAGUUUAGUGGCUUUAGUCACCAAGGGAUAGCUAAAAGUGUACAUGGGACAGCUGCUUUAGUGGUCUUUAAUCACUAUAAUCAAACAGGAGGUGACUAAACUUUAGGAGUGGAAUUAAACAGAUCCAAUUGAAUGAUACCACAUAUGGGGAUGUCUCCAUACUAUAUUAAUUAACACACGAGUGGUAUAUACAGUUGUGAUCGAGGUCGAUCAGACACCAGAUUAAGAUUGAGAUCAACAAGAAAGAGGGAACAUGAACCUUGAUACGAGGACGAUGGAGAGGUAGGUACUUGAGAACGGCGGCAAUAUUAGUGUUUGGAGCAGGGAGAGAUGGUAAGACAUGAUGCCACAUGGAUGGGUCAAGUUUCUUUUACAUCUACAAGGGUUUUUCUUUUGAGUGGCACAUGGUGAGUUUUUGUGAGAAGCACGCGCUGAGUGCUGAUUGGGAAAAAAAAAAAACUAUGGAUGCCCUCUCCGACCUCCAUUUUCUAGUUAUGACUACUUGCUCUGCGGGUUUAUAUAUAUGAGUUCAUAGCCACACGAGUGAGGCAUAUAUAAUUUUAGAGGACAAUUGCAAGCAUGCAUGCUGCCAUCGGAUCCCAACCACAUGUGACCCACAACAAGCCCGGCCCAAUAGAUUGGCAUUUCUUGAGUACACUGCAACUUUGCGCUUUGCUUGUUAUUAUGUCACAAUAUAUUGCGACAAUGGGAGGUAGUUAUACUCAAUCCGUUUGGAAUUUGGAUCAAAACACGAGGGAAAAGCAACUUUUCGACAUCCAUCUCGUUGUACGUCGAACCACCAAACUGUACUCCAAAAAUUUGCAUUGCUUGGCUGAUUUAUUUACCUACAUACACUCUCUCGGUGCCAAAAAAAAAUAAUACAAUUUUCGUUUUCCAAGGAGCUAUUUUUUUAAGUUUAAUUAGAUCUACGAAAAAUGUGAACACUUAUUAGAUUAAUCAUGUAAUGUGUUUUUAUAGCGUAUCUAUGUGAAGUAAUAAAUGUUUAUAAUUUUUUUAUAAGCCUGGUUAAAUUUAAAGAAGUUGGAGUCAGUCUAAAUCUACAAAUAUACCCUUUAUUUUGGACCGAGGUAAUAUAUGUAAUGUCAAGAAUGAAUUUUAUUUUUGCUGCAAAAGAAAAAUAAUGAAUUUUCUUAGUCUCGGUAACAAGCCAACAACAAACCCUUCCACUGCAAAAAUAUCGAUCUAUCGCAAUGAAUUAAUGCAAUCUAAUGAAAAUAAAGGUCUUUCUGAGCUACUCAUUUCGUCCCACAAUAGAAGUCAUUAUGGGAUGUGUGCAGGCUAAACUUUCUCAACUUUGACUAGGUUUAUAAAAAAUACAUGGAACAUUAAUAUAAAACUAAUGAUAUUAAUUAUGUAUUAUAAAUAUUAAUAUUUUUAUAUAUAAUUGGUUAAAGUAAAAAAACCAACUUUUCAAAAUUCGAGAACGACUUCUAUUUUAAGAUAGGAGUACUCUUUUAGUGUGUUGUUUGGAUGCUUAUGUAUUUACUUCAAUCCAUAUAUAUUAGAGACAUGGAUUGAGACAAAUACAUGUACAUCCAAAAACAACACCUUAAUGAAAAAAACAUUUAUAUUAGGCACCGCGGCCGCGAAAAGAAAAUAUGCGUGAGCCAGCCGUAAUCACCUACAUAUACAUAGGCAAGCAUGAUAUAUGCUAGCAGGUUAACAACCUAACCUAACUUGGUCGAUUGUGAUGCGCAGAUAGCUAGACCUUGUUUAGUUUAAAAAAA
rnacentral:lncRNA from 1 species